UUCCGGUUGAUCCUGCCGGAGGCUACCGCUAUUGGAGUUCGAUUAAGCCAUGCGAGUCUAGAGGCCUAGCCUCGGCGUACCGCUCAGUAACACGUGGGUAACCUACCCUAUGCUGGGGGAUAAGCUCGGGAAACUGAGAAUAAUACCCCAUAGUCCACUACGCCUGGAACGGUGAGUGGAUCAAAGCUCCGGCGGCAUAGGAUGGGCCUGCGGCGUAUCAGGUUGUAGGGGGUGUAAUGUACCCUCUAGCCAUCUACGCGUACGGGUGUUGGGAGACAUUGCCCGGAGAUGGAUUCUGAGACACGAAUCCAGACCCUACGGGGUGCAGCAGGCGCGAAAACUUGGCAAUGCGAGAAAUCGUGACCAGGGAACUCCAAGUGGCAGGGGUAAGACCCUGUCUUUUUCCGACUCUAAAUAGGUCGGCGAAUAAGGGGUGGGUAAGGACGGUGCCAGCCGCCGCGGUAAUACCGGCGCCUCAAGUGGUAGUCGCUUUUAUUGGGCCUAAAACGUCCGUAGCCGGUCUGGUACAUUCGUGGGUAAAUCAACUCGCUCAACGAGUUGAAUUCUGCGAGGACGGCCAGACUUGGGACCGGGAGAGGUGUGGGGUACUCUCAGGGUAGGGGUAAAAUCCUGUCAUCCUGAGAGGACCACCUGUUGCGAAGGCUCCACACUAGAACGGGUCCGACGGUCAGGGACGAAGCCUAGGGGCACGAACCGGAUUAGAUACCCGGGUAGUCCUAGGUGUAAACGCUGUGGACUUGAUGUUGGGGACGCUCCGAGCGUUCUCAGUGUCGAAGCGAAGGUGAUAAGUCCACUGCCUGGGGAGUACGGUCGCAAGGCUGAAACUUAAAGGAAUUGGCGGGGGAGCACCGCAACCUGAGGAUUGUGCGGUUUAAUUGGAUUCAACGCCGGA
rnacentral:rRNA from 1 species